rnacentral:rRNA from 1 species
CCUACGGGAGGCAGCAGUGGGGAAUAUUGCACAAUGGGGGAAACCCUGAUGCAGCGACGCCGCGUGAGUGAAGAAGUAAUUCGUUAUGGAAAGCUCUAUCAGCAGGGAAGAAAAUGACGGUACCUGAGUAAGAAGCCCCGGCUAACUACGUGCCAGCAGCCGCGGUAAUACGUAGGGGGCAAGCGUUAUCCGGAUUCACUGGGCGUAAAGGGUGCGUAGACGGCAGUGCAAGUCUGUGGUGAAAGGCGGGGGCUCAACCCCCGGACUGCUCUGGAAACUGUACGGCUGGAGUGCAGGAGAGGUAAGGGGAAUUCCUGGUGUAGCGGUGAAAUGCGUAGAUAUUAGGAGGAACACCAGGGGCGAAGGCGGCUUACUGGACUGUAACUGACGUUGAGGCUCGAAAGCGUGGGGAGCAAACAGGAUUAGAUACCCUUGUAGUC